rnacentral:rRNA from 1 species
AUACGGAGGGUUCAAGCGUUACUCGGAAUCACUGGGCGUAAAGCGCGCGCAGGCGGUCUUUUAAGUUGGAUGUGAAAGCCUACGGCGCAACCGUAGAACUGCAUCCAAAACUAUUAGACUAGAGUGUGGGAGAGGAAGAUGGAAUUAGUUGUGUAGGGGUAAAAUCCGUAGAGAUAACUAGGAAUACCAAAAGCGAAGGAAAUCUUCUGGAACACUACUGACGCUGAGGCGCGAACGCGUGGGGAGCAAACAGGAUUAGAAACCCUAGUAGUCC